rnacentral:rRNA from 1 species
UACAGAGGUCUCAAGCGUUGUUCGGAUUCAUUGGGCGUAAAGGGUGCGUAGGCGGCGCGGUAAGUCGGGUGUGAAAUCUCGGAGCUUAACUCCGAAACUGCAUUCGAUACUGCCGUGCUUGAGGACUGGAGAGGAGACUGGAAUUUACGGUGUAGCGGUGAAAUGCGCAGAUAUCAGGAGGAACACCGGUGGCGAAGGCGGCAUCCUGGACCGGUAUUGACGCUGAGGCGCGAAAGCCAGGGGAGCAAACGGG